ensembl:lncRNA
CUGGGCCUCAGGAAAUUAGGCCUUUCCUGCAUCUAGAAGGAUGAAGAGGGAAGGAGGAAUUCCACAGAGGACACUACCCUAGAGGACAUCACACCAGACAGGCACAUUCUGCAGCUCCCUUUGCAGAUUUCUCCAAUUCCAGACACCCAUCAUCUUCUGGUCUUUGUGAACCCAAAGAGUGGAGGGAAGCAGGGGGAGAGGUCAUCAACUUCUCCAACGGAGGACCUGGACCCCGACCCGAGUGACAAGCGGAUCGAGGUGGUGGGGUUGUCGGGGGCUAUCGAAAUGGGUCAGAUCUAUUCUGGGCUGAACUGUGCUGGACACAAGUGUGUGCUGGACUGGCUCAAACCUCACAGAUCACUAUCAGGUAGAUUGUAAUGCUCUAUACACAAGUCUUAAAGGUUUUAUGCCUUUUACCUUUUGUUAAUUCAAAUGGAUCUCUCUCUCUGUCUUGUUGCCUUUCUCAGGACAUAUAAAGCCCUGCCUAUGUAGAUUGAUGGUGAGCACUGCCUAUGUAGAUUUAUGGUGAGCCCUGCCUAUGUAGAUUGAUGGUGAGCCCAGCCUAUGUAGAUUGAUGGGGAGCCCUCCCUAUGUAGAUUGAUGGGGAGCCCUCCCUAUGUAGAUUGAUG